rnacentral:lncRNA from 1 species
GACAUUCAUUAGAUUUGACAUGAAGAGUACCAGCCCUGCAUACCUUACCUUUUUGAUGGAUUUUCAUCCUUUACAAGUUGUGCACAAAGUUCGGAACAAAUCUGGUGUGAUGUGUGAAUGGUUUCCCUUGCUCCAGGCCCUCUGUUUCAUCUGUCGAUUCUUAUUGAUCUGCUCUUUCAGGAUGGACGGGCGCUUUAAGGAAAGGCUGUGAUGGAGUUUGUUGCUGUUUUCCUAAUACCACCCACACUACACUGAAGGUAUUUGUGCAAUGACGCUGAGACGCUUAUUGUCGGAUAAAGCGGUUAUUUAUCGCUCGCCCUUGCCCCAAGUUGCCCUUCAGCGGGCGCUGAGCUGUGGCAGGAAGCGUGCAGCACAUCCUGAAUGUCAACAGGCUGUGCUUUGACCUCUUCUUUGUCCGUAAGUUGUCACAGAAGUCUCUUGCUGUUCUGCCUGUGGACACUUCAGCACAGCACGGGAACCUGACAGAUCAGAUUUUACCGGCAGAGCGGAGCGAGAACAGGGGAGGGAUCACUUUGCAAACACCGCCCCGAGGGCCCAAACAGAAAAGCAGCACCGACUUUAUCUCGUCCGUGAGCUCUAAAUGUCAGGAGUUCUCCCUGACCCCUGUCAAAACCAAACACUGUCAAAAUAAAGCUCUGCUUCUCUGUGUGUGACCUGUGCAGGAUACCCUCCACAGUAAAAGAAGCACACUUUUCUCUGAGAUGGAUGUUGUGGGGCUUGUAAAAUAAAAAGCUUGAAAUAAACUGAAAAUAUUUAUCGAGGCUGUCAUGGUAGAUACAGUAAAACUGACAACAUGACUGGGUCUCUGCUUUUAUUUCACAACACCUUAAAAAUAACUGCCAAGAGGCUUCAAUCAGCCUGGAACAGUUUCAUCCAAAACUAGACAGCUGUUGCACUUUUAAACCCUUGAGAUUUCACCUUCUUUCACCUAUUAUCGGCUUUAAAAUCUGUGCAGAAAUCCUAGCUGAAAAUAUGAUCAUCUAUACGCAUCAAAACGUCUGAACGUUUGCACAGAUUAUGCACUAGAUGAGCAACUUUCACAGGAAGAGAAAUACCGAAAAUUAAACCUAAUUCACCGUAAAGGGUUUGAUUACUAACAUCUUAAAGCAUGACCACAAAAAACAAAGCUUUAAGUAAGAAAUUAAAAAGGUGAAAACUCAAAUUAAAAGGGCUUUGAGGCAAGAGUAAAUCUUUUUUUGUACAUGUGUAAACUUAAUUAACCUUCAAGUGGAGAAAACAGAUAAACGGAUUGAGUCAUUUCGUCCCUGAGGUGUGCCAGUAUGCAGUAAGCCUGCUUCUAAAUUUGACCACUUGGCUUCCUGGAUCUUUCUUGGCGUACCAGGACCUCUUACAAGUUUUCAGCACCCUUUCCUGUCAUCUCUGUAUCACACUUUCCUUUAAACAUUCACCAAUAAUACAUCAUCAAUAGGGCACAGUUUGAUAUUGGUGUCUUUUUCCAACUGUUACACCAUUUUCACUGGCGUUUUUUUGCCAAAGACUAACAGCACUAACACAUCGGACACGGCCAAGAUGUGUUGAAUUCUCCAACUAACUUUGGCUGCUUCCCUUAUCGUCUUAAACUGAGAAGUUUUGCCAGUAAAAACCAACACUGUGAAAGGUUUAUUUACUCUGUGCUACACCACUGUUCGCUUUAAAUGCAGGGUUUUGGCAUAAGUUAGCAAAAAAAAGGCCAUCCUGCCAGAUUCCUGAUGCCAGGUAUCUCAGGGUGCUUGGUAUCUCGGUGCUGCGAUGGCUGGCAGCGCCAACUUUCAUCCACUUUCUCCCUCAUUAUGUAAAUAUCAUGCGGUUAAAGAAGAUGAUGGUGCACUACAAAGUCAAAAAAACAUAGUGGAGUGACAUAAGUUUUAGAAAAAGGAAUAUUUCGCAACAUCUUUCAGUCAGAUAUUAGAUUUAAAAACUCCCUUGCUCACCCCUCACGUGACGGUGGCCCUUGAGGACAAGAGUCCCCUGUUAUGCAUCAUAAGUAUGUUUGUAUCCUCAAAAAUGUCCACUGAUGCAAAGUCUUUUUUAGCACAAUAACUUCUUCAACUUCCAGUCAGUGCACACCAUAGACUGUAUAUAGGAUGGACGCCUCCUUGCUGGGUGAAGCAACCGCCAGAACAGCACCCUCUGGUGACGGGCUGUAGUAUAGGUCAUAAAUUCUGCCUCUUCAAAUUCAUAUAAUGACGGAAGGCGGAACCAAGUUGUCCGUGGUAUAUACAGUCUAUGAUGAACACUAGUUUGUGCCACUGUAGAAACAAAAGAAGACCCUCCCUUUAUGUUGCUUCUCUGUGUAUCCCAGCAUGCUUUGGGGAAUUUUGAUUCAUGCCAGUCUUUGCAUUUCAUUAUCUAUGUGAUGCACCUUUAGCCAGACUAAAUCGCCAUCUUCAGGGUAAAAUACCUCUCUGCAGUUUAAAUGCCAGUGUUUUGAUCACACCAGUUUUGGGACUUGGGCUUUGUUCAGAUUCCCAGAAAUAAACAAGUAAGUCUUGCACUCUAUAAUUUGUGUUACACUGAAUUGUCACUAACUACCUAGCUUUAGAUCUGAAUGGAGAUAUGUAGGAUAAAUCUUGUUCACCUGGAUUAGUAAUACUGUCAUUAAGUCUUUAGAUUCAGCAUGAUAGUUUGUGUAAGUUGAUUUUUCUAACUUUUUUGUGUAAACUAGCCAAACAGCAGCGACACAAACCUAAGUCAGUGUGAUGCAGGUUGGACUUUCAGAGAAAAUUGAAUGCCUAGAAACCCCGGUGGAUGACAAAAAGCACCCUUUCAUCAUAAAAUCAUAGCCUGGGUGGCUUCUCAGUAGGAUGUCUGACCCAGAUAUCUGAAGCGAAUAUUUUACACUGCAGGCUUUGUGUAACAGAAAUCCAAACUGUGCAAUUUUAAAAUCAUAUUCUCAUAAUUCUACAGAGCUGAGGGGAGGAAAGUGUUCACAUCCAUUCAUCGAGACGCAUACACCAUCUAUCGCAUAGUUCUGCAAAGAUUCAAGGUCCGUUAUUCACCAGGUGGAGGAAGAGUCAGCUCAGGUAACGAUCAUGGUCUUCAGGUGUUUCGUGUAGAUCUGAUAACCCCCAGUUUAAAACAGCAAAACUUUUUCCAUCAACGUUAACAUUUUGAUUGGUUGUUGAGAUAAAGAUGUUUAAGACUGACUAAGAAAAUGUUAAUUAUUUAUGUUAAUUAUAGGCUUUUAUUUUGAAGGAGCUGGCUGUCUUGCAUAGAUUCUGCAUAAGAAACCUAAACAAUAGAAACCAACAUUUUAAGAGUUGUUUUCUUCUCCUCUUGAGGACAGAGCUGAUGUUUUACUAUGUACUAAUAAUACGAAGAAUCAUGUUGGUUUUUCAGUAAAUUAAUGACUCAUUUAUUACAAGAAAAUCUGUUUCUUUCAGGUUUAUACCACCAGACAAGAUCUCUGCACAAUUAAUAUUACAGUGAAUGAAGCAGAGUUGUUUUCCAUCACAGGAGCAGCAGGAAGAAGCUGCAUCGACUCAACAAAGG